rnacentral:rRNA from 1 species
UACGGAGGGGGCUAGCGUUGUUCGGAAUUACUGGGCGUAAAGCGCACGUAGGCGGACUGUUAAGUCGGGGGUGAAAUCCUGGGGCUCAACCUCAGAAUUGCCUCCGAUACUGGCAGUCUCGAGUGCGGGAGAGGUGAGUGGAAUUCCCAGUGAUAGAGGUGAAAUUCGUAGAUAUUGGGAAGAACACCAGUGGCGAAGGCGGCUCACUGGCCCGUAA